rnacentral:rRNA from 1 species
CCUACGGGUGGCAGCAGUGAGGAAUAUUGGUCAAUGGACGAGAGCCUGAACCAGCCAAGUAGCGUGAAGGAUGACUGCCCUACGGGUUGUAAACUUCUUUUAUAAGGGAAUAAAAUGAGCCACGUGUGCGUUUUUGUAUGUACCUUAUGAAUAAGGAUCGGCUAACUCCGUGCCAGCAGCCGCGGUAAUACGGAGGAUCCGAGCGUUAUCCGGAUUUAUUGGGUUUAAAGGGAGCGUAGGGGGGUUGUUAAGUCAGUUGUGAAAGUUUGCGGCUCAACCGUAAAAGUGCAAUGGAUACUGGCAGACUUGAGUACGGUUGAGGUAGGCGGAAUUCGUGGUGUAGCGGGGAAA